GCUCGAUCGGUGAAAACCGAAACAAUGCGAACAUUAACCAUUCCGGCCCCGCUGCAAUCGUGAUGUCUAAACCACCUGAUGAAAUCGCGACCGCGGUCGUGUCCAAAGUCACCCGUCAUCAGUAUUCCUAAGCGCGACGACGACGACGUUCGCGUGUUUGCCUGAGAAAAUUGUGGCGAAGUUCAAGGCCGCCAAUUGGCACCGACGACGACGGUGCGCGGGUGAUUAUUGCUCACCGGAUCUCGGCUUUGCUUUUUUUUUUUUAGAAAUCGGUUUGAAUUUCUCGGAUACGUUUUGCCGUCAGUAAUUCCUACGCACGAGAUGUCAGUCAAAUAAUACGAUCGAGCCCACAACUAUAUGGAAAAUAAUCGUUUUUGUAUAGUUACAACAAACGCACGAUAUAGUUAUGGGUUCACGUAAUGCAAUUGGGUCAACAAUUCCUGUUGAAUCAACCAAGGCCGAAAAUAAAUCACAAACAACCCGUGCAACCUUUGUAUAAUACAAUGCGAUUCCGACUACCAAAGACUGAAAAGGAACAGCGA